rnacentral:rRNA from 1 species
UAGCUUGCUAUCAGGCGUCGAGCGGCGGACGGGUGAGUAAUACUUAGGAAUCUACCUAGUAGUGGGGGAUAGCACGGGGAAACUCGUAUUAAUACCGCAUACGUCCUACGGGAGAAAGGGGGCAACUUGUUGCUCUCGCUAUUAGAUGAGCCUAAGUCGGAUUAGCUAGAUGGUGGGGUAAAGGCCUACCAUGGCGACGAUCUGUAGCUGGUCUGAGAGGAUGAUCAGCCACACCGGGACUGAGACACGGCCCGGACUCCUACGGGAGGCAGCAGUGGGGAAUAUUGGACAAUGGGGGAAACCCUGAUCCAGCCAUGCCGCGUGUGUGAAGAAGGCCUUUUGGUUGUAAAGCACUUUAAGCAGUGAAGAAGACUCUUCGGUUAAUACCCGGAGACGAUGACAUUAGCUGCAGAAUAAGCACCGGCUAACUCUGUGCCAGCAGCCGCGGUAAUACAGAGGGUGCAAGCGUUAAUCGGAAUUACUGGGCGUAAAGCGAGCGUAGGUGGCUUGAUAAGUCAGAUGUGAAAUCCCCGGGCUUAACCUGGGAACUGCAUCUGAAACUGUUAGGCUAGAGUAGGUGAGAGGGAAGUAGAAUUUCAGGUGUAGCGGUGAAAUGCGUAGAGAUCUGAAGGAAUACCGAUGGCGAAGGCAGCUUCCUGGCAUCAUACUGACACUGAGGCUCGAAAGCGUGGGUAGCAAACAGGAUUAGAUACCCUGGUAGUCCACGCCGCAAACGAUGUCUACUAGUCGUUGGGUCCCUUGAGGACUUANUGACGCAGCUCACGCAAUAAGUAGACCGCCUGGGGAGUACGGCCGCA